CAAUCAAUUACCUCUUGAAUGUAUUGUCUUUAUUUCCAAUAUCUGAACACACAAAGAAACUAUAAUCUCCUCCUUCACCUUAUCGGUCUCUUCCUUACAACAAUUCAAUCAUAUCAAUAACUGCUAUUUCUACCAAUAACUGCUAUUUCUACCAAUAACUGUUAUUUCCACCCUCAUAAUCUCCAAUUGUAAUACUGUGCCCUCACAACUUUCAGUACACAAUUACCCUCAUUCCAAUCACUGGAAUUCUUCAUACAGAACUGCCAUUCACAUUACGGUGUUUCACACAAACACAGACUCAUUCUCUCUGCUAAACUACAAUCAGAUUUCAGCAUUCAAUCUUUCUUCUUCUUAAAUAAUACCAAUCACAUUUCCAUUCCAUAAUUCACUUCAUAAUAUUCAGAAACU
rnacentral:lncRNA from 1 species